ACGUCUGUUGGCGUAUGGACCCUGACGCGGCGCUCCUGGGGGGAGCGCGCGGUUUCGUGGCCGACGGCGCCCUGUACGGAGACAAGAUCGUCGUC
rnacentral:tRNA from 1 species